GGCACCUUGAUGUCGUGUUAUGUUGGCGAUUCAUGAGGUUCGGAUUCCAGGUCGAUUAUUUGUAUUCGUACACCUAGUACGAUGCAAACACAUCAUCGAUGCAUUUGUAAGUCUUCACAUCCGUACACGCACAGGGCCUGGAUCUGGUGCCAUACCAAACACAUUUACAAACGCCUGUUAAACACACCAGCUCACACAAACAGUGUUUUGAAGGAUGGAGCCGAACGAGAAGCAGAAUAGAAUAAGCGAACACAGGCGCACUAAAGGGGCGCCUGCACAGAGGCUGAGAACCUGUGGGCAAGGGUGCUGCCGGGGCAGACGCACAUGCACCCCACCAUCCGAAAAUUUCCCACAGCGGUUUAGCAGGAUGUGCCAUUGCCCUAGGACCUUUCGCAUAGCUCAUCCGCAUGCAGAUGCGCUCCUACCUAUGCGUCAUUCAUGCCACACGUAAAGUGGGAAGAAACGAGGCCACAUAGCCCUGCGUACCAAACCAAACAUGUGACUGGCGCACAUUAAAUCCGGCCCCGUCGUACACUAGCGCAGACGAGGCCGCCGCAUACAUUCUGACGUGAUAGGCUCCCCCACCUACGUCGGGGAAACACCACCCAUUCCUCACGUCAGGUCGUAGUAAUGUCCUAUGUUAUUAAACAACGAAUUGCCCCCGAGCAUGUACUACAUAUACUACAUUUAUUAAAUCUGUUAGUCUGCCAGGCACGCCGUGAAGCUGCUCGCCAGCUGUUUUCGGUCCAGGUGCCGCCCAAUGAAAACGAUGCGGUUCACUCACCUCUUUCCAUCCUACCGGCGGCUACGACAUGUUCAUCGUGGAGCUCUGCUUCAUUGUUAUGGAAGACUGUCUGGGGAUUCACCUCGCCCUUCACGUCCCCCUAGGCUCUGGCGUCGUUGCUCUUCCUCGGAAUUGAUCUGGUAUAUCAAGGCUAUGGAGCAGCUGCUCCAUAGUCAGCUGCAGCUCCAGCUUCAUCUGGAGCGUUCGGGCAAGCCUUCCUGAGACGACGCUUCUAAAUUCAAGAUGGCUCCACACUGCCAGUGACAGAAGUUCGUCGUGUUUCGCGUUUCACGUUUGUUGGUCUGAGGGCUUAUACUUCGCCCUUUGUGUGUUUGGAUUUCGUCGCCCUCGUCGGUCUGUGUGAACGGCUCGGCGUGCUUCGCGGGUCCGUCUCGUAUAGUAGGUAGCUGCGUUCCCGUCUCUCCGGGGGGAGCUCUCGUGCGUUCACUAGGGCUUCUGGGUACUGGUGGGGGACUGGGCGUUUUGCGUCUUGGAGGUCCGUUUUGCUUUUCUGGGGCGAAGGCUCGCAUCCGGUUUUGUCAGGUGGGAUUUUUCCUUGGUAAGGCUAUGCUUCGCCUUUCUUAUACGCCCGUCCUGGGCUUUUAUCGCCUGUUUCAGGUAUGUGUAAGUGCGCCCUGGCCUGACUAACAGGACACUGCAGUGUGCUGAUGCACUCGGGGUCAGCUGUAACAAACCGCGUACUGCUUUAAAGACCAG
rnacentral:lncRNA from 1 species